CCUCUUGUUUUAAAUGCAAGGAUUUCCAUUCAUUUUUGAAAAUUUAUUUUUCCAAUCGGAAGCAGUAAUACAACUAGAAUUCUUCUUGAGGCAGCUUUUAUUGUAAAAAUGUCAUCAAAGAUCAACCUUGUAUUAUGAAACAAUGAGAUUCAUAGAUGUAGAUCCUUAACUAAUAAAAUAAUAUUAUUUCCCAUAAUCAACAAAUCUACAGUGUUAACAAAUUAUCUUAUUUCCCAUAAUCAGCUUAUGUAUUACAUCAACAUAUCUACAAUGUUAACAAAUUAUCUUUAAUAGCUAAAACUGAUAAAUAAGAUGUGAAACCUUCUUCAACAUCAAAGGCUUGGCACACAAAAAACUACUAAUCUACUGGCAUUUUUAAGAAUAAAUAUGCUUUUCAAAAUCAUUAAAAGGUCAGCACAAAAUUCAUUAAUGUUUAGAUUUUGUGCUGUUCUAUUAAAAAAAAAACCAACAUCUUUAUCAUAUAAAAAAAUAAAAAUUUUAAAUUUUUCAUAUUGUUUUUCACCAACAUAUCAACCGCUUAUUAUGGUUGAAUAAUAAUAUUUAGACAUGGACUUUUUUUUAUUAUAAAAUCUGUAAUCAAUACAGCAACAAACACAUUAAAUUCUUGAUUUUAAUAUGAGGCAGGCAUAACCUAUGAAUGGGGACGAAGUUUGUUUAAAUUAUUUUUUUUGUAACUUAGAUAAUUGUUAAAAAAAAGAAACGAAAAUACCGUAACGUUUCCCAUUUUGGUUCUGUUGUUAGGGAUUUUACUUGUGACGUUAUUUAAGUUAUGACGUCAUGUUCAAUGUAAACAAAGAAACGCAAUGCAUCAUGUAACGUUUAUUCAUACCAAAGACAAAGAAUGAUUAAAAAUGAAAUAUUGGUAUUGU
rnacentral:lncRNA from 1 species